ACGUUUGUAGUCGGAUCGUCAAAGUCGUCUCCACCAAAUCGAUAAUUAUCAUCUCAUCGAAAGAUCGGGACACCCUCGCCUCUAUCAAGUGGUAUCAGUUUUCAGGUUGCUCGGUGAGAUUUUACAGUUUUUCAUAGUUUAGAUCGCAUCUGUCAUUCAUACCUAUAGUUCAUGAAAAAGCCACAAAAAAAGUUAGAUCUGUUCAUCCUUCAUCCAAGCCAGUCUGAGCCUUUGCAAUUUUCUAUUCGUUGCUUGCAUAGUUGAAUUAUCGGUUGCAUCGUCGUGUCAGUUGCUGGUCUUAGUGUCUAGUUCCUUUAGAGUUUCGAGUUCUGUUCACAUUAGUCACGCCGCCGCUGCAUCAUUAUCCCUUCCGCUGUCCACCAUCCCAUCUAUUAAUUUCCACCACGUGCUACGCGCUGUUCAUUGUCAUAAUCAUAGUUGAGGUCAUUCACAUCUUUGCCUGAUCCAAUCUGCAUCUUAUCUAGUUUGUCUUGGAAAGAGGGAGAAAAAAAAGAGAGAAAAAAGAGAGAAAAAAAGGAAAGAAAAAAAAAAGAAAAAGAGAGAGAAGAAAAAGAGAAAAAGAAAAAAAAAGAGGAGAAAAAAAACAAAAUUCGGAUCUAUCUAGACUCAAUCUCGUAGUUGAAUUCGGAUUGGAAUCUGUUUUGCGCACUGUUCGGUAAAACAGGUGUAUCUUGCUCAUACGAAGUCAGUUUUGGCUCCGUGAGUACUCAAAUUGAAGCUAGCGAUGAGCCGCAUCUAAAUAGUUGCAGAAGCUAGUUCAAUAUUUGACACCUCAAAAUCGGCUUCUAAAUAGGUCUUUUUGCCCUCUGAAGUUCGUGAACACAGCUUGUUCCAAUUUUUCAGGCCAGUUUUAGAAUUCUUUGACUCCUCAUAUCAACUCGGAAUUGAGUGAUUCUUUUUGCAUUGGAAAGCUUGAGUUAGUAGCAUUCUUUGAAAGAAUUUAUCAGAAAAUUGGCUCAAACUUUUCAAGAGGAAAGUUGGAGAGAGAGUUGUUGUAUAUCCUGUUUGGCAGUUGUUUUUCAUCAUUAUCUUCACUGCCGUUGUGAUCUUCACUUAUAUCUUGCUGUCAAGAGCUACUUAGUAUCCUUCAUUGAUGCUAGUUGUGCUACGCCGUGACCUCAUUAGUGUUCUAGGCUCGCGUCUCUAGUCCGGUCUAGCCUAGGACCAGCACAGUCCCGUCGUUGAGCGUUUAUUCAACAUUGCAUCUUUGAAUUGAUUAUUGCUAAUCUUUUGCUACCAUAUAUUGCCAACCCAGCUCCACAUAUUUCUACACCGUGUAUACGUACGCUUCCCUGGCAAUCGCUUUACUCAAUAUUCGGAGUUACUUGACACCGUUGGUUGCCGAUCACCGCCUACUGCAUGGUAAGAACUUGUAAGACAUUGAUAUUUGCUUUACUGUGAGCGUUUUACCACCACAUCCUAGUAGUUAUAGGAACAUUAUUUUUGGGUUUUGUUUCUUGUUCUACUAAUCAUGGCAGGAUCCAGAGUCAAUUCAUGGGCUUUGUCGAUCGCGGGAGACGUGCCACCACCUUUGCAAAUACCACAACCGUCACGAGAGGUGCACAAACAUCCAAAUGCGCAUGAUCAGGUUAAUGUAUCUAUACCACCAUUUAAUGGCCGUUUUAAACCUGCUUUAUAUAUUGAAUGGGAGUUCGACAUAAAAAAUAUAUUUGCUUCCCAUAAUUUCAAUGAACAUAAAAAGGUUAAGGUUGCGGUUGGUUCUUUCACUGGUUAUGCUUUGGUUUGGUGGAGUGAAUAUUGUCAGUUACACCCUGAUUAUAUACCUACUACUUGGGAUGAUUUGAAACUUGCCAUGCGACAUACUUUCAUCCCUGCUUAUUAUACUCGUGACAUGAUUAAGAAGUUGCAAAACUUAAAACAAGGUAGUGAAACUGUAACAAAAUAUUAUGAUGAUUUACAAACUACCUUGUUGCAUUCCUCUUUAGAAGAAAGUGAAGAUGAUUUUAUGGAUAGAUUUUGGGGAGGAUUAAACCGUGAUAUUCAAGAGAUACUAAUUCAUGAAGAGUGUUAUCCUAUGGACCAUUUGUUUCAUCUUGCUUGCAAAGCUGAACAGGAAAUAAAACGACGUGUUGGCCACGAGGAGAACAAGCGCACGGUGCACAUUCCAAGAGUUGAUAUGAUUGUUCCUUCAACUACUAGGCAUACUAUGACAACCACAUCCGUUGUUGUCAGGACUACAUCACCUCCACCAUGUGACACAUCGCCCCCGAGAGUGGCUACAUCAUCUGAGUUGAUCAUAAGAGGUAAUGACAAAGGUACUGAUCUUCCAUCUCUACAUGAGAAUGAUGAAUGCCUUGCCAAUUUGAAUGCACCAUCUGAUGAGCUACCCACUACUUUGAUCACACCACCUAUUUUAGAGGACUACGUUGAUAAUUUGACUUUGCCAUGUGAUCAAACAACUGAAAUACCAACAAUUUUGAGUGCACCCAUUGAAUUAACUAUUGAUGCAAAAGAACCAAUGUUUAAUCAUUUUGAUAUGACCUCUAAUCUUGGUGAUGAUUCUGUGUUGAAUGACUUAUUGCAUGUUUGCUUAUUUAAGCAUGUUGUAGCAUGUAAAUUUGAUGCAAGUAAGGUUUAUUCACCAAUGUUGGGAUGGUUUAAUGAUGAACAUUGUCAAUCUUUUGAAAUGAAUAAGAGCUUCACUUAUAUGUGCAAACUGAGUUGCAAUAUUUUCAUGCCUUCUACUUCUUGUGCUAAUUUUUUGGCUUUAGAUUUUAUGAACUAUGCAAGUUACUCAUCUAUUCAUGUGUCAUAUAUGCAAAAAUCAAGGGAAGUAAAAAUGGAUGACAUAUACAUAUACAACAUGUAGACCCUGUCUCUUUUGUUAGCCACAUUUCAGAUUAAGCAACGCCGAGGACGGCUUUAUUUCAUCACCUACGCCAUGUGACACACCGCCCCCGAGAGUGGCUACAUCAUCUGAGUUGAUCAUAAGAGGUAAUGACAAAGGUACUGAUCUUCCAUCUCUACAUGAGAAUGAUGAAUGCCUUGUCAAUUUGAAUGCACCAUCUGAUGAGCUACCCACUACUUUGAUCACACCACCUAUUUUAGAGGACUACGUUGAUAAUUUGACUUUGCCAUGUGAUCAAACAACUGAAAUACCAACAAUUUUGAGUGCACCCAUUGAAUUAACUAUUGAUGCAAAAGAACCAAUGUUUAGUCAUUUUGAUAUGACCUCUAAUCUUGGUGAUGAUUCUGUGUUGAAUGACUUAUUGCAUGUUUGCUUAUUUAAGCAUGUUGUAGCAUGUAAAUUUGAUGCAAGUAAGGUUUAUUCACCAAUGUUGGGAUGGUUUAAUGAUGAACAUUGUCAAUCUUUUGAAAUGAAUAAGAGCUUCACUUAUAUGUGCAAACUGAGUUGCAAUAUUUUCAUGCCUUCUACUUCAUGUGCUAAUUUUUUGGCUUUAGAUUUUAUGAACUAUGCAAGUUACUCAUCUAUUCAUGUGUCAUAUAUGCAAAAAUCAAGGGAAGUAAAAAUGGAUGACAUAUACAUAUACAACAUGUACACCUUGUCUCUUUUGUUAGCCACAUUUCAGAUUAAGCAACGCCGAGGACGGCUUUAUUUUCAAGAAGGGGAGGAUGAUGAGGACAUGACUACCUUGGAUAUGACCAAAAAUAUUGCAUAUAUGCAUAUUUGUCAGGUGAUUUCUAGUGCAAACUAUUCAAUAAUCUAUUUAUAUUAUCCAGAACAAAAAUACUUCACACACUUUUGUGUUUUGUCUAAUUGCAGGUGUAUGGGACAUUUGUACAAUCCACAUAUGAAGAUAAGGAAGAAAGAGAUGUUCAUUUGCUGUCCAAAAAGUUCUCUCACGUCACUUUUGGCCCAAGAUAAGAUAGAGUCCAAGUCUCUCACGUUCUGGAUUCAGAUUCGGACUGCACAGACAUACCUGACUCAAAACGCACACAAGUUUUUCAUACGGACUCCGAAUUGGGUGAUUCUUUUUUUGUUGGAAACUAGAUUUCGUGCACUUUCCAACCCAAUUGGAAUCACCUUCAAAUUCGUCCGGAGCGUUGAGUUGUGGACGAAACAAUCUGAUGCUGCAGCAGAAUCCGAGUCAAACUACAAGUCCAAAGGUGUUACAUCACCUCCACUUGGGCCAAUUGGCCUUGUACGACCUAGAUUUAGUUUUAGGCUGCCUUGGGACGUCCUCCCACCUCCUUGGCCGCCACCCCUUGCUCCUAUAUAAGUAGAUCCAUCUAGUAGCUUUUCCUUGGGAUUUGUUUAGUUAAAAGUUAGCCAUUGCAACUUCGUGUACUUCGUUUGUGUCCAACGACCAGACCAAGACCGCUUCCGGAUCCCCACCAUUAUCAAUACUUCAUAUUUAUUUGCAAUAUUCAGAUUGCUUUAUCAUAUUCUUGCUCAUUCUUCGAUUGCUUGCAGGAAUAGACCUUCGUGGUCAGGCUGACCGUGCUUCCAGCAUCGUCAGUAACCUCAGGAGAUUGGUUUAGCGAUUGCUAAGGCGCAACGUCGUGCACGUUUGUAGUCGGAUCGUCAAAGUCGUCUCCACCAAAUCGAUAGUUAUCAUCUCAUCGAAAGAUCGGGACCCUCGCCUCUAUCAUCUUGCCCAUCCGGUGUGCCCUGGGAACGAGAAAUGUGCAACUCCUAUCGGGAUUUGUUAGCACAUUCGGGCAGUCUUGCUGGUCUUGUUUUACCAUUGUCGAAAUGUCUUGUAACCGGGAUUCCGAGACCGAUCGGGUCUUCCCGGGAGAAGGAAUAUCCUUCGUUGACCGUGAGAGCUUGUGAUGGGCUAAGUUGGGACACCCCUGCAGGGUAUAAACUUUCGAAAGCCAUGCCCGCGAUUAUGUGGCAGAUGGGAAUUUGUUAAUGUACGGUUGUAGAGAACUUUACACUUGACUUAAUUAAAAUGCAUUAACUGCGUGUGUAACCGUGAUGGUCUCUUCUCGGCGGAGUCCAGGAAGUGAACAUGGUCUUGUGUUAUGCUUGAACGUAAGUAGCUUUCAGGAUCACUUCUUGAUCACUUCUAGCUUCUCGACCGUUGUGUGGCUUCUCUUCUCUCUCUUAUUUGCGUAUGUUAGCCACCAUAUAUGCUUAGUGUUGCAGCUCCACCUCACUACCUUCUCCUACCCAUAAGCUUAAAUAGUCUUGAUCUCGCGGGUGUGAGAUUGCUAAGUCCUCGUGACUCACGAAUACUUCCAAACAGCUGCAGGUGCCGAUGAUACAAGUGCAGGUGACGCAACCGAGCUCAAGUGGGAGCUCGAUGAAGAUCUUAGUCGUUGUUUUAUGUCUUUUCCGGUUUAUUAGUAGUGGAGCACAGUUGGGACGAUCGGGGAUCUAGCAUUUGGGGUUGUCUUCCUUUAUUUUGGUUCCAUAGUCGGACCUUUGAUUGUACUUUGGAUGAUGUAUGUAUUAUUUAUGUAUUGUGUGAAGUGGCGAUUGUAAGCCAACUCUUUAUCCCUUUCUAUUAAGUACAUGGGAUUGUGUGAAGAUUACCCCUUUUGCGACAAACCUACCAUCCGGCUAUGCCUCUAUGUCGUGCCCUGACACGUGGGAGAUAUAGCCGCAUUAUGGGUGUUACAAGUUGGUAAUCAGAGCCAUCCCCGACUUAGGAGCCCCUUGCUUGAUCGAAUCGCUGGCAUUGUUGAGUCUAGAACAAAAUGUUUUGAGUCUUCGGGAUUAUAUAUAUCGGAGAGUAGGAUUCUUUUUACUCCUCAGUCCCUUCGUCGCUUUGGUGAGGCCUCCUGACGUAGAAGUUCUGACUCUCCUCUCCUCAAAUUUCAUGAAAAAAUUAGGAUCACGCGGGUAUCUUGGAAUCGUUCCGAUAGUCUUGUGACGAGAACAUUGUUCUUGUGCCUCCUGACAUUUAGGGGUUGUGGUAGUGUCCCAGGGAGUUGAGCUCUCAGGUGUUGUCGUCACAAAUUUACUGUUGCAGUUCUAGAAUACCUGAGCUCGCCGACAUCGAAAAUCUCUUUUAUACAGUUGUUGGUGAGAUAACCUCGAUGCCACCCAGUACUGGGGCGGGAGUUUGGGAGUAUUGCCAUAACUCGUAUAAUGGAUGCUUUUCGAUGGUUGAGGUACACGAUUUCCGAAGGUUUCUUAGUUAUGUGUUGAAGGAUGGAUACAGCUGGAUGUAGGAAUUGUUAGUUUGGGUGAGAUAUUAUGCUUCCCCUAUAUCCCCAACACUUGAUUACAUAACCAGAAAGUUUCGGGAGUUUAUAAGUGGGAAUUCAAGUAGCUCCUAGGAUAUCUUUUCGAUAGAUGUAUGAUAUGAAAUUGGGGUUCAACGUCUAGUGGUCUGCCUAUCCACUUUGUUUUUACAAUGGUUUAGUUGUGUCUUAAAGAGUCCUUGGCUAUGCUGACUCGGGGACGCUUCGUAUGUCAUGUGCACUGCCUUGUACAUGAUGCACUACGGGAAACAGAGAAUUUGCCAUGAGUCAGUUCUUUGCCGUCUGGCAGCGGAUGGCAAAGAACGUCUUUGCCAUCUACUUGCAAAAAACAGACGACAAAGAACUGACAGAUUGCAAAGAACCUGGUUGCCAUCAGCCAGUUCUUUGCCAUCUACCAGCCGAUGGAAAAGAAUUUUUGUCGUCUCCUGGCAGACGGCAAAGAGGUGGGUGGGGUCCAGUGCUGUAACGGACAAUCAACCCACCUCUUUGCCAUCUGCCAGCAGAUGGCAAAGAAUCUUUUUCGUCCGCUGGCAGAUGGCAAAUAAGUGGGUGGGCCCCGGUGGAUGACAGAGCUAUAAUGGCUCGCUAGCCCCACCUCUUUGCCAUCUGCCAGCCGACGGCAAAGAUUCUUUGCCAUCAGCAGGCUGAUGGCAAAGAGGUGGGGCUUUGCCAUCUACUGGCUGAUGGCAAAGAUGUGGGCCUUUGCCAUCCGUUGGCUGAUGGCAAAGAAGUGGGACUAUCUCCUCCCCUCUCUUCUUCACAAAAAAAAUCUCCUCCCCUCUCUCCCAGCCCGGUCCCACCCCUCUCUCUCUCUCUCCCCACCUCUCCCAGCCACCACCGCACCGCGCCCCAGCCCCGCGUUCCCGACGUCGCCCAGCACCGCCACCGGCCCGCCCCUCCAAGCCACCGCAGCCCGCCCCUUCACCGUUCCAGGCCGUGGCGCCGCCCCCUCCUCCAACCCUCGAGGCUCUUUCCCCUUCCCCCAACCCUAGCCGCCGCACGCAGCAGCCAUGGUGGACUGCACCUUCAGCGCCGAUAGCCGCUGCUCGUCCAUGCUGUGAAGCCAUCCCCAACCUGCUCGCCUUUGUCCGCCGCCAUCGCGGACCGUCUCCUCCGUCCCUGACCACACAUCCUCGCCCUCGUCUGCCACCAUCACCGACCGACUCCUCCGUCCCCAACAAGCCAUCCCCGUCCUGCUCGCCGUCUUCCCCCGAAGAACCCGGUGGCUGUGUCAAUUCUCUGCCUCCCUGACCACCCUUCCAAUUUUGCGAAGGUGAUGCCCUCUUUGCUGCCCGACCACCUCUCCCUGUACAUGUUGAUGCUCUACUGCUUAUAUGUUCAGAAAGAUGAGAACCAUUUUGACUUAUGUGAUCUGAAGACCCCCCAACCUGUAGAAAAUGUUUGAAGACCCCUGAUUAAACAUGCCUAGAGCUAUGUGAUCUACACCAUUUUAGCAAAUGGGAAAUAUGACAUAUGUGAUGACUGCUGAGACAAUCCACCAGGAGCAUUAAUUUGCUCAGAGACUAGAGAGUGUGCAACAGCAAGUUCCUGAUUGAUUCAAAAAUUAGCAUGAAAGUAAAAAAAAGUAACACACACACACACACACACAGAGACAGAGUAUAAUCUACGAGUAGAAUAAUCACCGUGACAAUUCGGAAGAAACGUUCAGUGAAUUCAUCUCCCUUCAGCGGGUCAAUAUGUUGCAACUGCAUAACAUAACGACUAUAGGCCGCAUCACUAGCAUUUGGAUGAUCACAUAUUUGGCACAAGUCAGAAAAUAGGUGUGCAACCUGUGAAUCAACCAAUAUAAUGCAUCAAAAAUCCUAGCAUAUACAAUUCAUUCUCAUGUGUAAAAAUGGACAUUUAAAAUAAUAUGUUACACUGUUGAUACAUGUAUUGUUCACAGAAGAUCCCAAUCGGUGAAAACUGAGAACCAUUUUGACUUUUGCUCUCGUUCCCAUAGCCACACUCUACAGUUCACAAACAUAGACACACCAGGUGUGCUUCUUUCUCACUCAUGUAGUUUCCCUUCUGUCUCAACUACUCUAUUUUUCCAAGCCAAAAUCUGGGAUGAGGAUAUAAAUCCUUUUUGUUUUGUUUUGAUGAAGACACAAAAAUCUUGCUAGUUCUAUUCUCUUCAGUUUGUACUUUGGAACACAUCAGGAAGCGGCCACACCGGUACAAUAUGAAAGAUCUUGCAUUUUGGUAUCCUAAUUCACAACAUUCAUUGGUGGAUAUAGUUUUGUUUCAAAGUAUUGGUUGCAACAUAAAAAAUAUGGAGAUUAGUCUCUGUAGGAUAAGACUCCAUUUCCAUUUUCAUAAUAAAAAAGAGGUCGUGUCCUUCGAUCAAAAAAAAUCUUGCCUAUAUUAUCAACACUUAUGGUUAUAGUAGUACAUAUUUUGCUAUACUCAAUGUCAACUCCUAUAUAUUCCGCCAGGCUUAGUUGCAUUUUAGAGUUGUCCUUGAUGUUCGGCCCCCUUAUGUUUAUUUCUUGGCUCCGUCGUUGCCUACUUCACAUACAGAUUGGAUAUUUAGUUGUAUAUUUAGCACCAACAAAACCAUAAAGCUUAGUAUAGUCUUCAUAUAUAUUUUUUAUGGAAGAUUAGUUCACGUUUCUUUAUACACACACAAAGAAGAAUACCUUUCUAUUAUGAUUAUUUAUUCAUCAUUAUUUUAGGCAUAUUAGUAUGGAAGCUAGGCUAGUAUUGUGGUAGUGAUUCCAUUUGGAUUCGUUGAAAUCUGCAACUCUUUGUUUCAACUCCGAGGUUGGCGCUGAUGUCAUUGGUGAGAAAAUUAGAUGAAAAAAACAUCAAAAGCCCCUCAAAGAACAUCCCACGAUAAUAGCACAUCAGGAAGCGGCCACACCGGUACAAUAUGAAAGAUCUUGCAUUUUGGUAUCCUAAUUCACAACAUUCAUUGGUGGAUAAUGUUUCGUUUCAAAGUAUUGGUUGCAACAUAAAAAAAUAUGGAGAUUAGUCUCUGUAGGAUAAGACUCCAUUUCCAUUUUCAUAAUAAAAAUGAGGUCGUGUCCUUCGAUCAAAAAAAAUCUUGCCUGUAUUAUCAACACUUACGGUUAUAGUAGUACAUAUUUUGCUAUACUCAGUGUCAACUCCUAUAUAUUCCACCAGGCUUAGUUGCAUUUUAGAGUUGUCCUUGAUGUUCGGCCCCCUUAUGUUUAUUUCCUGGCUCCGUCAUUGCCUACUUCACAUACAGAUUGGAUAUUUAGUUGUAUAUUUAGCACCAACAAAACCAUAAAGCUUACUAUAGUCUCCAUAUAUAUUUUUUAUAGAAGAUUAGUUCACGUUUCUUUAUACACACACAAAGAAGAAUACCUUUCUGUUAUGAUUAUUUAUUCAUCAUUAUUUUAGGCAUAUUAGUAUGGAAGCUAGGCUAGUAUUGUGGUAGUGAUUCCAGUUUGAUUCGUUGAAAUCUGCAGCUCUUUGUUUCAACUUCGAGGUUGGCGCUGAUGUCAUUGGUGAGAAAAUUAGAUGAAAAAAAACAUCAAAAGCCCCCCAAAGAACAUCCCACGAUAAUACCCAGUCUCAUCUGCCGCCCUCUGAUUAUUGUCCAGCUUGUUGAACUAUCCCAUGUGAAGAAGCAAUCUAUUUGAGAAAGAAAUUUUAAGAGGCUGGCCUAUUAAUUUUAAGAGGAUUUUUAACCCAGCCUUUUCUAUUUAGUGCUGGUUUGGCUUGCCUUAGCUUUUAUAUUUGAACAAUCAGGUUCACAAAUAGAUACCAACCUCGACACGAGUUGGAUAAACCCCAUCUGAUUUUAUUUUCUCCACUUGAGAUUUGCAGCGGAGGUUGCAUUGGCCGGAGGAAAGGCAGAGGAGGGUGAUGCUGAUGAUGCAGCAACAUCAUUAAUGGAGGCAAAGGAGGAGAUUGGGCUUGAUCCAGCCUUGGUCACUGUCGUUUCCUCGCUUGAGCACUUCUUGCCCAUGGUAAGAUGUCUAUGAGUUCUCGCUUAUACCCACUGAAAAAAUAGCGCGCUAUAUCGCCGCUAAUAGUACACUAUAGCAUAUAGAGAAUUGUCUCGCUAAAAUAAAUCAAUGCACAAUGCCUCGCUAAUAGCACGUUAUAGCGUGUUAUAGUGCGCUCAUAGCAUAUUUUCAGGGGUGACACUGUUUUCUGUAGCGCGCUAUUUUUUUCAUUGUACCCCUACUGGAAAAAAUUACAUUGUACAGCGGACAGACUAUUUAAGUGCACACUAAAAGGCAUGUUAGUUUUUUUUUCUUCUUACCCUUCCAAAAAACACAUGCAUGCAGCCAAGAUUUAGGAUAUGCUUAUAGAUGUUUUGAGGAUUAUGUAGCAGGCUUUUCUUUACAGUCCACUUUUGCCGGAUAGAAUUUAUCUUUGUCCCUUUGACACCACGACACCCAGACACGACACCCCCGACCCCCGACACCUCUUCGGCUUCCUGUUGACUGAAAAGGUGCUUUUCGGCCUUCCAGAGGCCGAAGGGGUCAUAUAUUUAUGAAUUAUGAGUUAGGUCAUAUAUUUUCCGAUUUUGUUAUGAAAAAUAUCAUAUAUAUUUGUGUUAAUCGGGUGGAUUUAAAUGUGUAGUUGUUCCGUCGCUGCGAGGGUCUAGUGUUCGACGACCUCCCCAUGCGUUCAACGAGCUCUGCCCCAGCGUUCGUGGGUGAGCACAAAUGACAUCUCCUCCUCCCCCAAUCAUUUGUUAUGUUUCGGUCUUCGUGCCGAUGAAACAUGCUAGCUGUAGGUAGAUUGAAUCAUCAGUAUGCGUGACCACUAUGCUUCUCCCGUUCGAAAGGGUUACAUCUAUAAAUAUGCAUGCAUUUGCAUAUUUAUAACCGUGAUUCUUUCGAAUUGUCCAAAGUUAUCCAUGGACAGCCCGAGUAUGUGUAGAUUGGGUUCAUUUUCCCAUAUGCUCUGCUCCGGAUCCGAUGCAGAAUUUCGUCAGCGCCUCCCUGUUGUUCUUCGGGUACAUAUCCUCUUUGCUUAUUGAGGAGACGUGUAUCAGGAGAACAAUGGGGAGGUGCUACCGAAAUUUUGCGUCAGAUCUGGAGUAGAGCAUGGGAAAACGAACCCAAUCUACACAUACUUGGGUGGGAUUAGGACCUAUCUUUACCUAUUAGCGUCUAGGUUGCAUGGACAUAAUAAAACUGACAAACACUAUUAACUGAUGAAUACGGUUUGCUGAAUUAUGUAUAUAUUUCUUGUGUGUCCAGUAGCUAGGCAAGAUGGAUGAUCGUGCGUGGAUGUACACCGGUCACACUAGUCAGAAAGACAUGACCCAUGAAUGGAUAACAAAAACCAAGGGGUUUGUAAGAGUCGCAUUUGCAAAUGGACAGAGACAAACCUGGCGCCCCUGUGUCGAGUGCGACAACUAUCAUAAGAGGUCAGAGUUUGAAAUGAUCAAACACCUGCAGAAGUGGGGUUUUACACCUAAUUAUACAGUCUGGACAUUUCAUGGUGAGUCUGCCCAACAUGCCAGAGCUGAGGAGGGCCAUCGUCGCACCGACGAGCAUGGUACCGGGAUGGAAGACAUGGUGGAUCCAACCUUAGCCUAUUCAAAGGGAAGCAUAAUCCGAAGCCUCAGUACAAUGCUGGCGACCCUAAAAAAGGUGCAUAAUCCAAAGACAUGGUGCAUAAUCCAAAGAAAGGGUGCAUAAUCCAAAGACAUGGUGCAUAAUCCGAAGCCUCGGUACAAUGUUGGCGACCCUAAAAAGGGUGGAUCCAACCUCAGCCUAUUCAAAGGGAAGCUCGCAUCAGCCGGUGCUUAUACUCCCUCAUUGUUGGAUGUCGAUGAAUGGCGGACCAUUACUUGUAUAUCUUGAAUAAUCUAACAGAAGUGCAGCCGUACAUCGAGUAAGUUCUCGGUACAUUGUUUCGCAACCUCUAAUUCCUUUGAACUGCUCUUAUUCCCGAAACGAUUGGGGGACUGGCCGGAGUCGAGUGGCCAUGCUGAUGGUGACGAGGGUGGCUAUAGUUCUGAUAGCUAUAGUGAGAGUGAGCUGGUUGAGGGGGGCAAUGUCUACCAGCGUGGUGGUACAAAGCUCCCGCCCACCCCGGCGACCCCUGACCAGAGGUGGUUGAUUAUGCCUGAUGGGGAGAAGUAAGUGCAUUUACACUUCUUUAACCUUUUGCCUUCACGUUUCUUCGAAUAUCUAAUGCGUUAGUCUUGUCAUACUGCAGGUCUUGGAAACACAGUCGUGGUGUCCGUAGGCCCAACACAGUCCUUGGUGUGAUUUGUCGCCAGAGCUUCGCGGGGUGGGUCACGUUGCCCGGUGAGGGUCAGGUUCCAGAGCUAGGAAUGACCUGGGAGCACUACUUGGCUGCCCCGGCCCCGUCGGGGGAGAGGAUCAGCGGUGUCGAGUGCCACACGGUGGCUGACGUUGUGAUCCAGACGUUUUUGGUAAUUUUUCCUCUCUCGUCUACGUUGUGUUUUCUUGUUUGAUUGGAAAUCAUAGUGAUUGUACUAAUCCAUGUUUUCUUGUUUGAUUGCAGAGCUUUUACAGGUGUGCUGAGGGACAGGAGGAGGCCACGGCUCGGGUUAUCGAAGCCGAGUGCAGGCGGCUACUUCAAAACUGGCAGAACGGGGCUCGGACGCAGGCUACCCGAGACUACUUUGUUCCUCUCUUUUAGGCGCGGCACAACAACAUGGAUGUGCCAGAGCUGUUCGACCUCUAUGCCAUGGCCCAUAGUGCCACGUAUAAGAAGGCCAAUGCAUUCUCUGAGUCUGAUCUUGAUGAUCCAAAGAACUUCACCAACCACGCCUCCCACAACAAGCUCGUGAGGUACAGAGACGAGGGGAAGGCAAGGAAAGGGCCGGACUUUAACCCGAGCCAGCCUAUUGAUCCAGAGCUGGUGAUGAUAUCUAGUGGCGGGAGGAACCAUUGCUUGUUAGCCAUUGGGGAUGGACUGAUACGUUGUACUAGCACUCUCCCGCAGAUCAAGAGGCGCCAGACGAGCUCCAAUCCUGAGAUAAGGCCUCGUCCACGACCAAUGGAUCUCAAAAUCAAGGUUAGUUAUACAGAAUCAGAUACCUUUCCUCCAUUACAUUAUGUGUGCGGCCGUCGAUGAUUACAAUGCUAAAGAGAAGUGGUGUUGUAGGCUGCUAUUGAGGAAGAGAGAGCAAAGACCCAGGAGCUUCUGGCGGAGGAAAGGAGGCAGGCGGCGGAGAGGGAGAGGGAGACUGAGGAGAGGACGGCUAGGCUUUUGGACGAGGAUAGGAACCAGAAUGACUUGGCUAACCAGGCCAUAUACGAGCUCUUCGCGGUAAGUUUCUUCUGCAUAUUAGCUAAAUCAUGCAUGCAAUGUUCCUUUCAUUAGUAACUAAUAUGACUGACUCGUCAAAACCAAAUGUGCAGUCCAUGUGCGAGAAGAACGGUCAUACCCCUCCACCGAUGCCAGUCAUUGCUCCGCCGAACACGGUGAGUUUCAUUUGAAUGGACAUUACUUAUUAGUCUUCACAUUUGAGUUGCAUCAUGCUAACGGGACAUUGCAAAUGAUCUUUAAUUUGGUGCAGCAUAACUCCCGACAAGCAUCGAUGUCUGCCAUUGGCGUGAUCAAGAACCCCAAUCCUUCACCUACGGGUUGACGGUAAGUUUUGCCUAGUGCUUUGCUUAAUUAGCUCCAAAAUGACCUAUUUAACCUAGGAUAGCUCUAAAAUGACCUAUACUUAGCAUUUUUUCCCUCCAAAAUGACUUAAUAUGCUUAGCUAGCUCAAAAUUAACCUAUUUAACCUAGGAUAGCUCUAAAAUGACCUAUACUUAGCAUUUUUUUCCUCUAAAUGACCUAUUUUACAGAUAUAAGUUGCAUCAUAAUAAUCUUCACAUUUUAUUUGCAUCAUAAUAAUCUUCUUCUUCUAAUCUUCUUCUUCUAACUUUCUUCUUUCCCAUUUUGUAGAUUUGCUUCAGAUCACGGAAGCUUGGGUUGAUGGAGUGCUUGUCUUUAGUUUGUGUUUUAACUUUGUGAAACUUGCUACCUAUGAUGAAACUGUGUAAUAUUGAUGAAACUAUGUAUAUGUAUGGAUGAAACUUGCUACUAUUGGUAACAUGUGUUGGAUAUGUGUUGGAUAUAUUUGCGUUCAUGACUAUUGGUAAUAUGUGUUGAAUAUGCUAUAUUGGUCAUAUAUAUAUAUAUAUAUGUUUGAUUUUCUGUGAAAAUGAAUUUAUAUAAGAAAAAAACAAAAUUAAAUGAGGCAAUAUAGGCACUUUGCCAUCUGCUGGCUGAUGGCAAAGAGCUUUGCCAUCCGCUAGCAGAUGGCAAAGAGGCCACGCGGCAACAACCUGUGUAGCGCUCGUCUGGCCUAUUUGUUCUCUUUGCCAUCCGCCAGCAGAUGGCAAAGAGCAUGCAUCCUUUGCCAUCAGCUGGCGGAUGGCAAAGAGCCUGCACCCAUUGCCAUCAGCUGGCAGAUGGCAAAGAGCCUGCAGCCUUUGCCAUCUGCUGGCGGAUGGCAAAGUACGCUGUUAGCCUCCUAACAUGGCUAACCCCGUUCCUCAGGCUUUGCCAUCGGCCAGCUGAUGGCAAAGGCUACAGGUUCUUUGCCAUCUGCCAGCAGACGGCAAAGAAGCCUUUACCAGAGUUUAUUCAGCCGGCCCUUUGCCAUCUGCUGGCAGAUGGCAAAGCCCUUUGCCAUAUGCCAUUUGUGCCUUUGCCAUCGGCUAUGGCAAAUGGCAAAUUGCCUGAUUCCAGUAGUGAUGGUGCUGUACGAUCGAGCCCGUGUGGUCCCCACCACGAAAACUUCGGACAAAAUCUCUAUCAUAUGUUUGUUCCGGCUUAUUUUGCAAGCCAAUCCUUUGUUUUGUUUUGGUUUGUGGUAUUCGAGUUGCUUCAAUGUCAAGUGUUGUUUCCAUACCUUUCCUAAGUGGUAUUCUCAUAUUUCAAUGUGUUUACUAAUCCUUCAUGACAAUCGAGAUUGUCAUGUCAAUCCUUUUCAACCGGCGUGUUUCUCUUCAAGUGGAUCCAAUCAUUUCAACAUUCGUAAGAUCAACUCUAAGUUUUCUCGAUGGUAUCCAUUCCAUCUGCCCAAGCUGCCUUUGUUUUCCCACCCUCCCACCCUUUUUCUUUAAGGACUUAGAUUUCUUAAUCAAGUAUUUUUUAUUGAUGGGAAGCCUCUCCAUUCUUUUCCAUCAAUGUUCUUAUCCGGUGAUUCUCAGGAAGAUACUAACGGAGCCUCAAGUUCAUCAUUAAUCGUUCUCUUUCUUCUCUGGUGGAUUCAAUUCAAGCUUUGUUAAUCAUAUUCCUUUCCUCGUUUUAAAUGUUUUCUCAUGGUGGUGCACUUCUUAAUCAUCCACCUCUUUCUAUUCAUGUUUAUCUAGAGUGCUGAAGAUAUCUCAGAAGAUUCGCGUUUCCAUUGUCAAUCCGUUCAAGCUAUUUCGAGGUUGUUAUCUCAGUCAAGCCAUUUAAUUCAACCGGUGCAAUCUUUCUUUAAAAUCGUUCAACUAUGUAUCUUUUGAGUGGGCCCUAACCCACAAGUCUUUUUCCAGGAUCUUACCUGAUCUUCUUUUCCCGGAGCUUCUCAAAUUCUUUUCCAAGUUUGACGUAAGACUGAAUUAUCAUCAACCAAAUGUCCUUCUCCAAGAUCUUUCAAAUUCUUUCAUCGUUGGUUCAACCUUUCUAAUUUGUAUCCUGGAGUAUCUCAACAAUUCAUGGUGGUGUUUCUCAUCGUCAUUCCCAACACUUGAAGACCGAAGAAGAGUUUUUCCUCCAAAUCUUCUCCGUUCUCUUGAAGAUGUGUAGUUCAAGCUUGCUGCCAUCCUCUCAUAAUUGUUUUCGAUUGUGAUAAUUAUUUUCACCCAUCCGGAGCAUUUCAGGAGUUGUUUUCAUUUCUUGAUUAUCCAAAGGCCAUCAUUUCAGAAGAUUUAUUCGUUCUCAAUAUUGAUCUCUCAUUCCCCUUUUCUACCGGUGCUUCAUUCAAGUAUUCUCUAGUCUGCUCGUGAUAUCUUCGUUCUCAUGUAUCUAAAUCCCCUCAAGUAUCUUCAUUCGUUCUCUAAUUCUUCCCGGUGUUGGUGUUUUCCUUAUCUUUUCUUCGUUCAUUUUCAAUUCUUACGGUGGUUUAUUCAAGAUUCUUCUUCCUUCGUUAUCAUAUCAAUUCAUUUGUUCUUUCCAAUCUUACCGGCGGAUCGUUGAAGUCUUUUCUCAAAACUACGCUAUAUCUCCCUUAAUCAUUUCGAAGAGAAUAAGUAGUAUGACAAAUCCACUGCUUGUCAUCUAUUUAAAUUGGUGAGGGAUAAGCAUAAUUCUUAUUCUUGUUUUAUCGAGUGAAUUCAAUUCCUUAUUCCGGAGGUUCAUCAAAAUUCUUGAUUUCAGUUGUGCAUUUUUCUCUCUGGAGUUUCAAGUUUUUCUCGGUUAUAUCAUCGCGAAGCUCCAUCUAAAUCAUCGCAAGGCUUCACCUUGUGUUUUCAACUUCUCUUUCUUUUUGUUCUCCUUUUUAUUACCAGAGUUCUUCAUGGAGGCUCUACAUGAUGGUUCAUCAAGGAUUUAAUUCCUUCUCGAAGUGUUCAUCGAGAUUCUUUUUAGAGGAGCUCAAGUAUUCUUCAUCUUGCAUUCCGAAGUGCAAUUCUUUCAUAUCUCAGCUUUUGAGGUGGUGCUAUGUCAUUGUUGAUAAUUUCCCUUCAUGUUUCAUGAUUCACAAGUUGUCCGGAAUGACAUAUUUUAAACCCAUCAUUUUCAAUUCUUCAUGAGAUCCUUUGCAACCCAUCAAUCUCUUCAUUGGAGUUAUCUUGGGUUAUAUUUCACCUAAAGCUUUUCCUAAGGAUUGUUGCUAUUUAUGGUGCUUAUAAAUGACCCAAGCUCUUCAUUUAUCCUCCUGGUGAGAUAAGUUUCUCGUCUCCUUGUGGAUAUCAAUCUAAUCUUUUGUUUCUGUAGUGCCAGAAUUUCACUUCAUAGUUUUGAGAUGUUUUCCAUAAGCCCACUACAAGCUUUUUUGUUUCAUUGUUGGUUUUCCAACAACUCCAUUUUAACCUUCUUCGAAGGGUGCUUUCCAAGCUCAUUUGUGGCAUAAGUUCUCAUUUUCUUCUCCAUUUUGUUAUUCCAAUGAUAUAUCUUCUAUUCUUCCUUCCAGAGGCAUUGUCAUGUUGCUCUCUUCACUCAUCUUCUCGGAUUGCGAGGACCAUGUUCUUUUCGUGCUUAUCCAUUCAAGCAGAGUGUCGUGCCCUCUUUUCAAGUUCUUCCCAUUCUGUCAAGUUUUGCCUCCCUUCUCAACCGGAGUGCUGUCUGAAAUCUUUCUUACCCAUUGUGCCAUUCUUUCAGUAGUUCUGGAGGCAGUGCCUUGUUGAUUUCAUCAAGUAUACUCUCAUCUUGUCAAAUCCAUGUUCAAUUCCUUCCAUUUACAGUCGGGGUGUUGUCCAAAUUAUAUAAAUCGUAUUCCUUCUCUAUCUUGUUUUAACCGGAGUGUUCUGUCUAUCAUUCCUCUUCUAACCGGGGUCUCAUCCAAGUGCUUUCAUUUUGCCAAGUUCAUAUUCUUUGCCUUCCAUUUCCAACCGGAGUGUUGUCAUAACGGAUCUUUACCGUUCCUUUUACAUCUCGUUUCAACCGGAGUGCUUGCAUGUACAUCUUAUCCAUUGCACCCCUUUUUUCUUAUGUCUUUCAACCUACAAGGUUCUAGUAAUGUUCCUUGUUCCUCUUUUCUAACAGAGUGUUUUCAACUUCGUUCAUCUCCAGUGUUUUUUUUUCUUUCAAUUUGUUCAACCUCGCAAGGUUCUUUGGUUUCACUCAUUUGUCAAAGAAGCAACUUAGUUUUACCUCUUCUCUUCCUCUUCCGUUUCCCUCCGAUGCCAUGCAAUAUCUCGGGACGAGAUCCUCUUGUAGUGGUGGAGUGUUGUAAUGCCCCGAGACUGUUACACCAAGUGUUUUCCAGUUAUUCGCUGUUGUUGCCUUGUCAUUCGCUUGAGUGUUGCUUCUUGCCAUGUCAUCAUGUGCAUUGCAUCAUAAUGUUUUCAAAACAUGCAUUCGUCCGGCUCCCUCAGUUCCAUCUGUUGUCCGUUCUGAGCCCAGAUACACUUGCACGCCCCCGCGACACGUCCGAAAUAUUAUUUUAUAAGUGGCUGGAAAAUGUACUCGGAAUAGGAUGAAAGUUGGCAUGCGGUGUUGUUAUGUUGUUAGUAGGCCGUCUGACAAGUUUCAUCGCAUUCGGAGUCCGUUUGACGCCCAAACGGAUAACUAUAGCGGCAUUAUAGCCGGUCAAACGUCGGACAUUUUCGGUCUCCGGAAAUAGUCGCCGGGCCUCUCUCUCUUCUCUUCUCUCGGCCCAAGGCUUUCUGCACAGCCCACUACCACUCACCGCCAGGCCCAAUCUAACCCUCCUCACAUCCGGAGCCGUCUGAUUGUUAUCGGAGGGCCCCGAAACCCCUCCUAACCACCUGACCCCUCCUUGAAUCAGUGCAUCAAACCCCUCGCGCAUGUUCAAAGUUGUCCCAAACCCGACCAGGGCAGUCGUCACAGUUGGGUCCGGAUCAUCCCCAAAAAUCUAUAAAAUAUCUUUGUUUUAUUUAUUGGACUCCCUAAUCUAUAUUUUCUCAGCCGUCCGAUUACGAUCAUAGGGACGUGAUAGCCCAUACCCUAAUCUCUUUGCAAUAUAAAUAAUGGGCAACCCUAGAAACUAGGGAUCCUGUCCCAUCCAUCCCCGAAUCCCUCCACCGCCGUCCUGUCUCAUCAUCCACAUCGGGAUCUACAUCCCACCAACACAUCGCCUCCACCUUCUCCUCGGUCCCAAAACAACGAGACUCCACCCGAGCCUGCGCUUCGAUCCCUUGCUCAUGCCCGAGGCCGCCUCCUCCUAGUCUCCACGUCGUGACUCCACCGACGGCAAGCCGCCUCCUCGCCCUGUUGGCAUCACCGCCGGUGCAAGCUUCUGCACCUCCCGUGCUCGCCAUCGCCUCGCGCUUCUUUCCCCUGCCGUGCCUGGUCGGCCAGUCUCCACUAUCCCCGCCUUGCUGCUCUGCACCUUCCUACCCGAUGAGUCCCUGUUGUCUUGAGGCCGCCCAUCUCCGUCUGGCCGACAACGAGCAGUAGCUCACCGGACCGCGAAUUCCAUUGGGUUCCCAGCCAAACUCGCUGCCGCCAGCAUCGUCCUGCUCAUCCCGCCUCCUGCUAGCAUCUCCGUCGCCCGCCGGAGCCCUGCAUCGCGCCUGCGCUGCCAUGCCCUACAUUCCACAGCCUGUCGCCUCUGCUUCGUCCAAUUCGAGCGAGACGAGGAACGCCGAGCAGCAAGCCCUUGUAUCUCAAGUCUCCUCGCGCGAACCCCUGCUUCCUCGCGUUUCGUCACCCUACCACUCGUCCCAGCAAAGCCCCAACCUUCUCAUUUCCUUCCCCGUUUCACUUCUCUCUCUAAACCUCCCUCUAUUUUUCUUUGGGAAGCAGCACCGUCAAAACUUCAUGGUCUCCGCCGCCUUCAACCACUGCACAUGUCCCGACCCGAGUCCUCCAUGCCAGGUCCUCCGGCCCCGCAGCAACGCCACGUCGGAGCCGCGCCAUCCCUCCGCUCACCGGAGUCCCACGCACCCCUGCAUCGUCGCUGCCUUCUGACGAGCACGAGCUCGAUCCGCUGCCUCCCUUCAUCGAAGGAACCAGGCGCGUUGACUGCGCAUGGACCGGCCUCGCCUAGGCCCAGCGCCACCUCUUUCUUCCAUCCAGCCUGUCAGCUGCAGCCCACCGAGCCGGCCCAGUUGAUGUUGGUCCUUGGUGAGCCACCGCAGUCCCAGCGCCCAGUGCACUGUUCAGAUUCGGCCCAUUUGCUUUUUUUCAGAUCUGCAAUUUUAUCGUUUAUCCAGAGACUAACAGUUUUGUAGAAACCCCCCCAAGCAUCAUACAUUUAAUAACUCACAAAUGGUGCAUCAUAUUAAAACAAAUUAUAUAUGUAAAAUGCUUAGAAUUUUGUGUAGAUUAAUAAUUUGCAACUUUCAUCCAUGUUAAAAAUGUUUAAACUUGUUGUUUGCAUUGUUUUGCCAUAUUGCCAUGUUAAAAUGCUUUAUUUCAUAACUAAAUAACCGUAGCUCCAUUUUAAAUAAACUUUAUAUGUAAAUGGGGUAGAAAAUGCAUAGUUUAUCACAGUGGCAUUACUUUGCAUGUUUAACAACUCUAAAAUUAUGUUUAGGGCAGAACAGUACCAACUUUAAAAAUAUGCAUAUGAGGAUUUUUCGGACUUGUUGCUUGUUGUUCCGGCCUCAUUUAAACUUGCCUAGAUAGGUAGUUUUCAUAUGCUUCACCUCUUGCCAUCUUUAAUAACAUUUAAUAUUGUUGGGUACAUAAACAGGAGUGAACUAAAUAAUGGAAUGUGGUGUUUCAUCAAUAUGCAACUCGCUGCAUAUUGAGCUCCACUUAAUUUGUAGUAUUUUUUGUGCACUUUGCCAUGCCAUGUUUCUUUAAACCGGACAUGCAUGAUACUUGAUUGUGCAUCAUGCCAUGUUUAUGUGAUGGUUGUUUACUAUGUUUCUUGCUUCUUUCCGGGUUGCUUCUCUUGUUAGCUUCGGUUUUGUUCCAGAGUUGUGAAGAUCCGUUCGACUACGUCCGUUUGUCUUCUUCAUGGACUCGUUCGUCUUCCUUGCGGGAUCUUAGGCAAGAUGACCAUACCCUCGAAAUCACUUCUAUCUUUGCUUGCUAGUUGUUCGUUCUAUCGCUAUGUCGAGCUACCUACCACUUGUUAUAUCAUGCCUCCCAUAUUGCCAUGUCAAGCCUCUAACCCACCUUCCUAGCAAACCGUUGUUUCGCUAAGUUACCGCUUUUGCUCAGCCCCUCUUAUAGCGUUACUAGUUGCAGGUGAAGUUGAAGAUUUGUUCCAUGUCGGAACAUGGAUAUGUUGGGAUAUCACAAUAUCUCUUAUUUAAUUAAUGCAUCUAUAUACUUGGUAAAGGGUGGAAGGCUCGGUCUUCUGCCUGGUGUUUUGUUCCACUUUUGUCGCCCUAGUUUCUGUCAUACCAGUGUUAUGUUCCUUGAUUUUGCAUUCCUUACGUGGUUGGGUGUUAUGGGAACCCCUUGACAGUUCGCUUUGAAUAAAACCCCUCCAGCAAGGCCCAACCUUGGUUUUACCAUUUGCCUCACCACCACCUACUUUUCCCUUGGGAGUCCUGCUCCCGAGGGUCAUCUUUAUUUUAACCCCCCAGGACAGUGCUUCUCUAAGUGUUGGUCCGAACUGGGCAAUGUCCGGCGCCCCCUGGGUAACCAGGGUCUAUGCCAACCCGACGUCUUGCCCAUCCGGUGUGCCCUGAGAACAAGAUGUGCAGCUCCUAUCGGGAUUUGUCGGCACAUUCGGGCGGUCUUGCUGGUCUUGUUUUACCAUUGUCGAAAUAUCUUGUAAUCGGGAUUCCGAGACUGAUCGGGUCUUCCCGAGAGAAGGAAUAUCCUUCAUUGACCAUGAGAGCUUGUGAUGGGCUAUGUUGGGACACCCCUGCAGGGUAUAAACUUUCGAAAGCCGUGCCCACGGUUAUGUGGCAGAUGGGAAUUUGUUAAUGUCCGGUUGUAGAGAACUUGACACUUGACUUAAUUAAAAUGCAUCAACCGCGUGUGUAACCGUGAUGGUCUCUUCUCGGUGGAGUCCGGGAAGUGAACACGGUCUUGUGUUAUGCUUGAACGUAAGUAGCUUUCAGGAUCACUUCUUGAUCACUUCUAGCUUCUCGACCGUUGCGUUACUUCUCUUCUCGCUCUUAUUUGCGUAUGUUAUCCACCAUAUAUGCUUUGUGCUGCAGCUCCACCUCACUAUCUUCUCCUACCCAUAAGCUUAAAUAGUCUUGAUCUCGCGGGUGUGAGAUUGCUGAGUCCUCGUGACUCACGGACACUUCCAAACAGUUGCAGGUGCCGAUGAUACCAGUGCAAGUGACGCAACCGAGCUCAAGUGGGAGCUCGAUGAAGAUCUUAGUCAUUGUUUUAUGUCUUUUCCGGUUGAUCAGUAGUGGAGCCCAGUUGAGACGAUCGGGGAUCUAGCAUUUGGGGUUGUCUUCCUUUGUUUUGGUUCCGUAGUCAGACCUUUGAUUGUAGUUUGGAUGAUGUAUGCAUUAUUUAUGUAUUGUGUGAAGUGGCGAUUGUAAGCCAACUCUUUAUCCCUUUCUAUUCAGUACAUGGGAUUGUGUGAAGAUUACCCCUCUUGCGACAAACCUACCAUGUAGCUAUGCCUCUAAGUCAUGCCCCGACACGUGGGAGAUAUAGCUGCAUUGUGGGUGUUACAAGGGGGCUCACCGGAGAGGUACCCCACUAUCUAUCUUAGGGUUCAGGGUGGGGGUGGUGGUCGCCGGCGGUGGUGGGGCGGUGGCGUGGGGAUCGCCGGAGAAAAAGCUCAGCACGAGGGCCUAGCGGGAUGGCCGGGGUGGCGGCAGACCGGCGGUGGGGAGUGGUUUUGGGGCGGGCGAGGCGUCUGUUCGGCCGGUGGUGACUGGCGGCUCAGGGUAGCCUCACCUGAUGUUGCUACACGACCAGUUGCCCUGGCUGUCGCACACGCUGCUGCUUCUGCUGCUUUUCUGCUACUAGCUAGUGCAUUCAAUUUCGACAGUAAAAUUCAGUUUCGACGGCAAAAUUCAGUUUCGACUGUUAAGUUCAGUUUCGACAGUUAAAUUCAGUUUCGAUAGUUAAGUUUAGAGAUGAACGGCUGAUGUAUUUUACAUCUAGCACUUUGUGGUUAUGUAUUUUACGUCAUCUAUUGGAGAUGCUAUUAGAAUUCCACUCAGGUUAACAUUGUCUCUCUUGUCCUGUGUCAGCCACGCCGUCGUACAACUCACCGGAGUGCUCCAAUAACAAAACCCUCCAUCACAGCGGAGCAGUACCCCAUGCUCCAUCUCUAGACGACUAAUAUCUUCUUCCCCUCCUCCGACAGCCAAGUUAGCCGGAUCAUCCUCACCGACCAACCCAAUCACGCUGAGAUCGACAUGGCUUCGCCAAAGAGGUUGUACACUUGUUGCAUCUCUUUUUUACUCUACAUGUUAUAUAUAUUGUCCAUGGAGCACACGCAGUAACGUGAAAUACAGUUAGUUUCUCCUACUAUAUGACAAGCAGUGAGGUACCAAGCAACUUAGCUAUCCAUGAUGGACUCUCUUGAAUGCCAUCAUUAUUUAUCUCUGCGUGUUUGAGCUGUGCAUUUGUCGAUGGGCCUGGGAAUUGAGCUAGUACGGCAAUGGCCUGGGUCCAAAGUAGUACAAGUAGGCAAGUAGCAUGAAAACAUUUUUUUAGUGUAGCUUUUCCUUGCUCAAGCCUGCCUACUAGAAUCACAAGUGCUUGAAAGGAAAAGUGAAGGAAAAACAUAGAAAUUGGAAAGUUUCCUAUGGUACUACUAUUCAUGCAUUUGGUUCAAAGGAAUGGAGCAAUGGAAAAUUGUAGGAUUUGUUCCUUUAGUGUCUCCUUGAAAGAAAAACUGUACGGAUUUUAAUUUCCACUUGUCCUCCUUUUCAAACUUAAUCUCACCAUGCUUCUCUUGCAUCAUGUGAUCUUCCAAUUCUUGUGAACCAAACACCAAGAUUGGCAGAAAUCCUAUGUUUUUAAAUUCUCUAUUUUGCACAUGCAUUCCUAUCCUAUUACUGUGUAUUUCCUAUCCCUGCGUUGUUAGAAUCCUCCAAUUCAAACGAGCCCUUACAAAAUUACUUCUCUUACAGAUAGUUGUCAAAGAAAACCUUGUGUGGUUUGUCCCGCUCCAACUGUGCCAUCGUCCACACAAGCUCAGUUGCACCAAUGACAGAAGGGUCCAGCACAGCAGGGAUCCGGUCUCCAGACUGUCUUUCGCCGCCUUAGAUCUUCUUUCCCGCCGCCGUCAGCCAUGACAACUGCAUUACCAUCAUCAACCGAGCAGAUGACCUCGAGGACUAACGGGUCCGCAAGAGAGGUUGCACUCUUUCGUGUCUUCUUACCUUAUGCAUCGCUUAAUAUUACAUGCUACUUUAUCGUCCUGUUCACCGAUUAGACUCAACUCCAAACUAAUGGUCAAACUUGAGUUUUUAUAUGGUUGUGGGGUGCAUAUCGGGGCCGCAAUCAAUAGUAUCUAUCUACUAUCUGGUUAAUCUCUGGUGUCUACUAUGAGUUUCAUGUUGGGUGGGAAACAAAUACUAAAGAAGCCAUUAUCUGUAUUUUUAACUGAAGCCAUUAUCUGUCUGCUAUCAUUGGUUUUGUGUCUAUCCACAGGUUCCUACCAUCACUAUGGAUUUCUACAUGCACUCCUUACAUAAUCUCACUAUGUUUUAUUCCUAUGCAUGUCAGUUAUUGUACACAAUGGAACUGAACAUGUAGAGCAAAAGAGACGAGCCUUGCGUGGCAAUAAAACUUCAUGCAGACGUUGUUCCAUGGUAGGCGCAAAUGUAGCCCCCCUCCAACCAUUUCGGAUUGUAAUCGAGAGGAACAUAUCUGUUCUGAGGGGGAUCUGAGGGAGAAGACCACUCCUAUUUACCCCCUGAGGUCUUCGCUCUAACUUGGCAUGCUGAUGUUGGUUAUAUCAUGCAUAUGGUGCCUUGCAUUGCUUACUUUAUACAUCAAAUAUGUCAACUGCUUAGUUCAGACAUGCUUUGUGUGAAUGCCAUCUGUUUAGUUUAUUCAUCUUUUAUGUGAAUUAUGCAACGCCAUAUUCUUUAGCCAGGCAUCAUAUAUGUGAAUUUUGCAAUGCCAUCCUGCUUAGCCGGUCAUCUUAUAUGUGAAUUAUAUCAGGCCAUCCUUUUUCGUUAUGUAUUACAUUAGUCAACAAUGUUAGUACAUUCAACUACUCUUCGUGUGCAUCAGCAAUUUGACACGGUGAUGGGAAAUUCUGGAGUGAAAACAAGGUCUUCAGAGCAGACUAUGCUAUCUAACGAAGCGCAUAUUUCGCUGGUUACGGAUAGCUCCUCAGAGGAGGAUUCACAGAUAGAUGACCAGUCCUAUUUGGCCCCCGAGGUGUAUGCUCUAACUUGGCAGGGUUAUAUUGCUCAUAUUGUGCAUAUGGUGUCUUGCAUUGCUAUGUCAUUUGAUUAGUUAAGACAUGCCUUGUGUGAAUGCCACAUGUUUAGUGUCUAAUUACCAUAUAUGUGAAUUAUGCAUUGCCAUCUUGUUGCAAGACAUUAUAUAUGUGAAUUAUGCAAUGCUAUCUUGUUGCAAAUGCAUUAUAUAUGUGAAUUAUGCAAUGCCAUGUUGUUGAUCCAAUCAUCAUGUAUGUGAAUUAUAUCAUGCUAUAAUUUUUUUUGUAUUACAUGUUCCAUUUGUCGACAACGUUUGUAUAUUCAACUACUCUUCUUGUGCAUCAGCCAUUUGAAGCGGUGAUGGAAGUAUCUAGAGUGAAAACAAGGUAACCAGAGCAGACAAUUCUACCUGCUGAAGCAGACAUCUUGCUGGAUACAGAGAACUCCUCACAGGAGGACUCAGAGACUGAUGACAGUCCUAUUUCCCCCCUGAGGUCUAUGCUCAAACUUGGCAGGGUUAUAUUACCCAUGUCAUGCAUGUUCUCUUGCAUUUCUUAGUUUUUACAUCAUAUAUGGAUUGCCAUCUGCUUACUUGCUUACUAUAUAAAUCAUGUUUACAUACACAGCAUCUAUCUGAAUUAUGGCAUGGCAACCCAUUUAAUAAAGACAUCAUAUAGUUAUAUCAUCUCAUCCUGUUUAGUGUUUACAGUCAUCAUAUUUUGAAUUAUGUCAUUCUAUUCGGGAAUUAUAUCAUGCUAUCAUGUUUCCAUAGGAGGCAUGUAUGUGAAAUUAUGUCAUGCCAACCUAUUUAAUAAACACAUUAUAUAGUUAUAUCAUGUCAUCCUGUUUACAUAGUCAUCAUAUUUUGAACUAUGUCUUUCCAUCUUCUUUAGUUAGCCAUCAUAAUGUGAAAUUGUGUCAUGAUAUCCUGUUUAGUUAGCCAUCAUAUAUGUGAAAUUGUGUCAUGCUAUCCUGUUUGGUUAGACAACAUAAAUGUGAAUUAUUUAUGCCCUCUUUUAUUCCCCACUAUCCAUUGCACUUGUCUAUCAUACAAUGUCUGUACAUUCAAUUACUUUUCUUGUUUAUUAGCCAUUUGAAUUGGAGAGGGUGAUGGCAGUAUCUAAGGGAGUAACAACACGGUCUUCAGAAAAGAUAGUGCUACCAGUUGAUGCAGAUAGAACCACAGUUGUACUUGCCCAAGGACCAGCCCCACCACACAUAACCCAGACUCUCGCAGACUGUACCCCUGCCCAGUUGGACAGAGAACCAGCUACACCCCUUCUAACCCCAACCCCAAAAGAGAGUAACCCAGUUCCAGUUGACACAGCACCGUCUCCACCACAGAGCACCCAAACACGAGCAGUUAGUAAGGGAACUGUAGUGCCCAAAGCACGAGUACCACCACUCCGAAUUCCAACUCUAUGCUUAAAGGAGAAGAAGAAUUGUUCUCAGGUCAGGUUCUAUAGCUAUGGUUCAUACUCGUUUGCUCUUGCAUCACUGUAUUUACUCAGACCAAGUAUUUUCAAAUUUGAAGGAUGGAAUUGAAACUCCAAUGGCACAAAAGGUAUGUUUUAAACUUGUUUCUUUAACUGGUUUGCUGUUGUAACUUGCUCUAUGUUGAUUUCAGUUUCAAUUGAAUAAACUGUUAUGUUCUCAUGUCAUGCACAUUACAAGUGUUGGUAUUGCUCUAUAGUUUCCCACACUUAUAUUCUGUCUAUUCUGCUUUGUCUUGAACAAAUAUUAUUUGAACUAUCUCUCUAUCUUGAUUUGGCAACAAAAACUAGAAUGAUAUAGACCAUAAAGUGACCAUGGUGCAUAGAUAUAUGUUUGUUUCAUGUUGUUAUCCUGUGCACUUUACUACUGAACUGAUUUACCAAAAUGAGUUUCAUAUACAACAUGGUAAACCUAUGAUGUGUCUGCUUGUUUCUCUUUUGGAAUGUGGACAAAAUAUUGGAGAACAGUACCCCGUUAUGCAAUGGUAAUGGAAGUAAUGCAGAUAAGGUUCAAGAUAGUGAGACAUCCCUAUUAGUCUCCAAGAAAGCUGAUAAAAACUACCUUGACGACAGUGAGAGAACUCGAAAGUCAUGUCUUGAUGCAGUGUUUGAGUUACUGGUCGCUACUACUGGCACAAGCUCUUCAAACUCGCUACCCGAAUCAGUUCGUCUUCUUGAGUCUCAACUUCAAGUUGAAAGACAUUGAUCAGAUGUGCUGCGACAGGAAGCUGAGGGACCGAGGAAGUCCCUACAGAAUUCAGAUGCAUACUUUCUGGUGCAAAAGCAAGCGCUGGAGGAUUUAAGCGCCAAACAAGAGGAAGUUAAUAAGCUUGCUAAGCAUCUUGCCAGCAUUAUGGGUACACAGGAUAUUGUUUCUUGAGAUCUUCUGAAGUAGUUUCAGUUCUGGACUUGUUUUUUUGCGGCGUUUAUUUGCACUGGUCGCUGGCUUUGACAACUAGUGUAUAUCAUAUGCUGCUUUGUUCCCUAUAUUUGCAUUGGUGGCGAACUUUGAUGCCCAGUGGAUGUAAUAUGUGUAAUAGCCGUGAUAUCCUAGCGUAAGUUGCUUGCUUAUUUAUUUCCUUGUUGUCUUGUUUAUUUGUUUGCUUGUAGUCAGUGCAGUUCUUUUUCCGCGGUUCGGUAGUGGCCACAAUAACCUAUUUUUUAAAACUAGGCCACAAUAACCAUGGGCUACAUAUUUACUGUAGUUACCAUGGGCCUCCUACGGGCCGUAGAAACAAUGGGACUUCUACGGGCCGUAGAAACAAUGGGCCUUCUAUGGGCCAUGGCAUCAAUGGGCCUUCUACGGGCCGUAUGAUCGAUCGGCCAAACAUGGGCCAAUAGCAGACCGCAUUAUGGGCCGUAAACGGACUAGAUUUGGAAUCAUCCGUUCAUGGGCCGACAAUAAUGGGCCAUCAUUAAUCAGCCGUAUUUGAUGAUGCUAUGAAAGCGGCCCAACGGAUUAACGGGCUACAAACGGGCCGAUUGUAACCACGGGCUGAAUUUGGCCCACAAGCAGAAAAGGCCAGUAACGGGCCGUAAGUAACCGAAUGGUGGAAAUGAUCCCAAGAAUAAAUGGGCCCUGAGAAGGCCGAAAGAUAACACGGGUUGGAAACGGCCCAAUGGAAUAAUAGGCCGUUAAUGGGUAAAAAGCGAUACACUGUUCAUUGUGGGCCAGAUUCACCACGGGUCGUUAAUGGGCCAAGAGUUACAAAUGGCCUCGUAUGGGCCGAAAGACAUCUUGGGCCAUACAUGGGCCGGAAGUUACAAUGGGCUGGAAUCAUAAGGGAUGGCCCAGAAGAAGCUACUGUGAUUAAUUCCAAUAGGCCAUAACGGGUCGUGAGUUUGCGGGCUGUAAAUGGGCUGUAUAGGAACAGGCCGUUAGCAGGCUUUCCGCGGGCUGGCCCGUUACCUUUUUGCCAAGUCAAAUGGGCCGGCUUUUUCACUGGAAUGGGCCUCUGUUGGGCCAUGCCACAUGUCGAUGUAUCAUAGGCGCCUCCUAUCCAAUGAAUGGAUGACAUCUGUCCCAACGGUGAGCCAACACGUGUUUUCUCCGGCCGAUGAGAAUUUUACACGUGGAAAAUCCAUAUUGGUCUGGGCUGUUAGCGGGUGAUCGGAUCCAAAACUAGGCCCAAUAGCUUAACAACGACCCAUUAUGGUGGAUGCCACGUGUCGGUCACCCUUGACGAAAGCGCUUCCAUGACGCACGAUUUAUCAUCAUGGAAGUGGACACUUUUGUGAUGAUAAUUUUGGUAAUGUCAUGGAACACUUCUACGACAGCACAUGUAUGACUAUCUUGAUUCUGUCAUAAAUUUGUCAUGGAUGUACAUGCAUGACAGAAAAUGUGACCUACUGUGACAAACAUGUCCCAUCACGGAAGUGUCUUUUUUUGUAGUGUAACUAAACCAAAGAUUCGAAGAAGAAAUACGAGGCUAUAAGUGAUUAUGCAUAUAAGAGGUAAAAACUCAUAUAACUUUCAUGUAUAAAAUAGAUCUUAUCAUAAACUAUUACACCACAAAAAGAGUUACAUCAAAUAGAUCUCCAAGAGACCAUUGUAUUGAGAAUCAAAAGAGAGAGGAAGCCAUCUAGCUACUACCUAUGAACCCAUAGGUCUACAUGAACUACUCACGCAUCAUCGGAGAGGCACCAAUGAGGAUGAUGAAGCCCUGCAUGCUGGUGUCUAGAUUGGAUCUAGUGGUUCUGGAACUUGCAGUGGCUGGAAUUGUGUUUCAUCGACUCCCCUAGGGUUUUUGGAUUUUUGGGGUAUUUAUAGAGCAAAGAGGCGGUGCGGGAGGCGGCCGAGGUGGGCAAAACCCACCAGGUUGCGCGUGGGCCCCUUGGCACGCCUAGAUGGGUUGUGCUCCCCUCAGAGCCCCCCUCUGGUACUUCUUUGUCCCAACAGGUGUCUUCUGGUCCAGACAAAUUCUCCAUAAAGUUUCGCUGCAUUUGGACUCCGUUUGGUAUUGAUUUUCUUUGAAGUAAAAAACAGCAACUGGCACUAGGCACUAUGUCAAUAGGUUAGUCCCAAAAAAUGAUAUAAAUUUGCCAUAAAAUGAUUGCAAAACAUCCAAGAAUGAUAAUAUAACAACAUGGAAAAGCAAAAAUUAUAAAUAUGUUGGAGAUGUAUCAUCAAUCUCACUGACAGAAGGAGAAGUGACACGCAUGUAUUGUUGCCAUUAAGGAUAAAAAGAUGGGGUCUAUUCCCUACAUGAAUAGAUCUUGUCUACAUCAUGUCAUCAUUCUUAUUGCACUACUCCAUUUCUCCGUGAACUUAAUACACUAGAUGCAUCCUGGAUAGCGGUAGAUGUGUGAAGUAAUAGUAGUAGAUGCAGGCAGGAGUCGGUCUAGUAAUCUUGGACGUGGUGCCUAUAUACAUGAUCAUUGCCUUGGAUAUCGUCAUAAUUAUUUUCUCAUCUAUCAAUUGCCCAAUGGUAAUUUGUUUACCCACCAUAUGUUAUUUUCUCGAGAGAAGCCACUAGUGAAAUCUACAGCCCCCGGGUCUAUUUCCUAUGAUAUUUUUCAGAUCUAUUAUUCCAAAAACCCAAAAAUACCUUGCUGCAUUUUUUCUUUAUUUAUUUUAUUUUAUGUUUUUGCUAGAUCUAUUUAUCCAAUCUCAUACAAUUUAAUCUAUCUCAAUACAGAGGAGGGAUUGACAACCCCUCUUACGCGUUGGAUUGCAAGUAUUUGUUAUUUGUGUGUCGGUAUUGUUUACAUAGUGUUGAUUGGUUCUCCUACUGGAUUGAUAACCUUGGUUUCAUAACCGAGGGAAAUACUUACCGUUGUUGUGUUGCAUCAUCCUCUCCUCUUCGGGGAAAUACCAACGCAGAUACAAGCAACCAGGAAGAAUUUAUGGUGCCAUUGCUGGGGAGACAUCAUCAACAUCUAACAGGCACCCAAUCAGAAAUCUCAUCUCCUUGCAAUUUACAUUAUUUUCCAUUUGCCUCUCGUUUUCAUCUCCACCACUUCUGAAACGUUUUUUGCAAAAGCACAAAAAUAUUUGCCUUUUUAUUUACCUUCUUUUUGUUUGUCUUUUUGUCGUUCGAUCUCUUGUUUGCGUGUGAUCUUGUUUGCAUAAUCACGAUGGCUCAAAGAAAGUAUUAUGAUGUUACUUACCCCCAAUUAUUUUCUUGAUAUUGAGAAAAGUACUAAGGAAUAUAUGACUAUACAAUUGAGCAUAAUAAGUUUUUCACCGAACAGUUUAAAGAACUCUCUAUUGAGCUAGAUUCUAUAACAAAACAACUUGAUCAUAUUAGUAGAGAGGUUUCUAAUCUACAAUCCAAGUAUGCUCAUACUGAAAAUUCACUAGGUAAAAUAUCUGAUGCACAAGCUACACUAGUAAAUCAAAUGGCAACUAAGCCAGAUUCUAUAGAAGAUAGUAAUGCUGCAGAUCUUAAAAUGAUUGGUGUUUCUUCUAUUGAUUAUUUGUUUAGUAAUACUAAAAUUGAUGAAAAGAGGACCGAAGAAGAGUCAACUUUAGCCAGAGGGCGUCCUCACAAUUCGGAGGGUGAAAAUCUUGUCGUUGACAAAAUUGAUAAAAGUGGGUUUGGAGAGGUCAAAACAUGAACUAGUGAUGUGCCCACUCUUUUGGAUUACAAAGAGUUUAAUUAUGAUAGUUUCUCUUUGAUUGAAUGUAUUUGUUUGUUGCAGUCCAUGUUAAACUCACCCAAUGCAUAUGAAGAAAAUAAACCUUUUACUAAACAUAUUGUAGACGCGAUGAUGAAAGCUUUAGAAGAAAAGUUGGAAUUAGAGAUUUCAAUUCCUAGAAAAUUAUAAGAUGAAUGGUAACCUACCAUUAAAGUUAAGAUAAAAAAAUUGAGUGCUUUGUGAUACGUCUCCAACGUAUCUAUAAUUUUUGAUUGCUCCAUGCUAUAUUAUCUACUAUUUUGGACAUUAUUGGGAUUUAUUAUCCACUUUUAUAUUAUUUUUGGGACUAACCUAUUAACCGGAAACCCAUCCCAGAAUUGCUGUUUUUGCCUGUUUUAGGGUUUCGAAGAAAAGGAAUAUCAAACGGAGUCCAAACGGAAUGAAACCUUCGGGAACGUGAUUUUUAGGAAGAUUAUGAUUCGGGAGACUUGGACCCUACGUCAAGAAAAGAAACAGGAGGCCACGAGGUAGGGGGGCGCGCCUACCCCCCCCCCCAAGCGCACCCUCCACCCUCGUGGGCCCCCUGUUGCUCCACCGACGUACUCCUUCCUCCUAUAUAUACCUGCGUACCCCCAAACGAUUAGAUACGGAGCCAAAACCCUAAUUCCACCGCCGCAACUUUCUGUAUCCACGAGAUCCAUCUUGGGGCCUGUUCUGGAUCUCCGCCGGAGGGGGCAUCAAUCACGGAGGGCUUCUACAUCAACACCAUAGCCUCUCCGAUGAAGUGUGAGUAGUUUACCUCAAACCUACGGGUCCAUAGUUAGUAGCUAGAUGGCUUCUUCUCUCUUUUUGGAUCUCAAUACAACGUUCUCCGCCUCUCUUGUGGAGAACUAUUCCAUGUAAUCUUCUUUUUGCGGUGUGUUUGGUGAGACCGAUGAAUUGUGGGUUUAUGAUCAAGUCUAUCUAUGAAUAAUAUUUGAAUCUUCUCUGAAUUCUUUUAUGUAUGAUUGGUUAUCUUUGCAAGUCUCUUCAAAUUAUAAGUUUGGUUUGGCCUACUAGAUUGAUCUUUCUUGCAAUGGGAGAAGUGCUUAGCUUUGGGUUCAAUCUUGCGGUGUCCUUUCCCAGUGACAGUAGGGGCAACAAGGCACGUAUUGUAUUAUUGCCAUCGAGGAUAACAAGAUGGGGUUUUCUUCAUAUUGCAUGAGUCUAUCCCUCUACAUCAUGUCAUCUUGCUUAAGGCGUUACUCUGUUUUUAACUUAAUACUCUAGAUGCAUGCUGGAUAGCGGUCGAUGAGUGGAGUAAUAGUAGUAGAUGCAGGCAGGAGUCGGUCUACUUGUCUCGAACGUGAUGCCUAUAUACAUGAUCAUACCUAGAUAUUCUUAUAACUAUGCUGAAUUCUGUCAAUUGCUCAACGGUAAUUUGUUCACCCACCGUAGAAUACUUAUGCUCUCGAGAGAAGCCACUAGUGAAACCUAUGGCCCCCGGGUCUAUCUUUAUAACAUUGAUCUCCCACUACUUAGUUAUUUACUUUGCCUUUAUUUUACUUUGCAUCUUCAUCACAAAAAUAUCAAAAAUAUUAUCUUUAUCGUAUCUAUCAGAUCUCACUCUCGUAGGUGGCCUUAUAGGGAUUGACAACCCCUAUUUGCGUUGGUUGCAAGGAUUUAUUUGUUUUGUGCAGGUACGAGGGACUAGCGCGUAGCCUCCUACUAGAUUGAUACCUUGGUUCUAAAAAACUGAGGGAAAUACUUACGCUACUUUGCUGCAUCAUCCCUUUCUCUUCGGGGAAAACCAACGCAGUGCUCAAGAGGUAGCAAGAAGGAUUUCUGGCGCCGUUGCCGGGGAGGUCUACGCAGAAGUCAACAUACCAAGUACCCAUCACAUACCCUUAUCUCCCGCAUUACAUUAUUUGCCAUUUGCCUCUCGUUUUCCUCUCCCCCACUUCAACCUUGCCGUUUUAUUCGCCCUCUCUCGCUCUAUACUCCCUCUCUUUCUCUAUUUGCCUCUUUUUGCCCACUUGCUUUCUGUUUGCUUGUGUGUUAGUUUGCUUUCUUGUCGUUAUGACUAGUCCCUUAUCUUCUCCGUUAUCUCCCGAGAAUGAAAUUCUAAAUUUUAAGCAAAGGGAGGGAGGAAAUCUAAAAGAUGCUUGGUAUAGAAUUUGCAGUGCUCAAAAUAGAUCUACUAGGAAGCAAUCUACUUCCAUUCUUCUUCGCAAUUUUUAUGUAGGCAUUACUCCUUGGCACUGUUAUGUUCUUGAUACUAUUACCGGAGGGAAUUUUUUGGGUAGCCAUACUUUUGGUUCUUAUAAUGCUAUGUUAGAUUUAUUUGGCUCACCUCCUCUCUUGGUUAUUGGAACUAUAUUAACUUUGGAGCAUGUAAUGGAAAGGCUUGAAAUUAUUGAAAAUAAGGUUGCUACCGUAGAAUUAAUUGAAAAUUUGGAUAAAAAGAUCCACAGCCGAAUCUCUCAAUAUGGAUCUAAAGUAGGAGUUACUUCGAAAUAUAUUAAAGAAAAGGAACCCAUAGUUAAUGAGAAAAUAAAUCACGGUUCCGUUAGGAUCGAUAAACUUGAGAAUAUCAUUACCAACUUGGGAACCGAUUUUUCUUCCGUAAAGAAUACUCCAAGUCCUUCCACUAAAGUUGCCAAGCUUAUGUACGUUCCUAAAAAUAAGGGUGAGUCCUCCAGUAAGGAUGCGGAUCUCAAAUCUAUAAGUAUUCAUCCCAAUCUUUUUGCUAUCAUUAAGGAACCAUUGUUACAAAUGUAUUUUUAGAUCUUGUGCCUAAAAGUUUGAUAAUUAAUAAAAAGAAAGAAAUUCCUAAAGAUGGUAUAUGCCUAAUUGAAGAAUUUCCUACCAAAGAUGGCAAUACCUAGAUCUAUUUUUGCUUGUUAUGCCUAGCUAGGGGCGUUAAACGAUAGCGCUUGUUGGGAGGCAACCCAAUUUUAUUUUUAUUCCUUGCUUUUUACUCCUGUUUAGUAAUAAAUAAAUUAUCUAGCCUCUGUUUUGGUUGUGUUUUUUGUGUUUAAUUAGUGUUUGUGCCAAGUAGAACCGUUGGGAAGACUUGGGGAAAGUCUUGUUGAACUUGCUGUAAAAAACAGAAACUUUAGCGCUCACGAGAACUGCUGCCAUUUUUAUUUGGAAAGUUCUAUUUAGUUAAUUCUAUUUACAGAUGAUUAAUAGAUAAAUUCCUCACGUCCAGCAAUUUAUUUUAGAAUUUUUGGGGUUCCAGAUCUUGCGCUAGCUACAUAUUACUACAGACUGUUCUGUUUUUGACAGAUUCUGUUUUUCGUGUGGUGUUUGCUUAUUUUGAUGAAUCUAUGGCUAGUAAAAUAGUUUAUAAACCAUACAGAAGUUGGAAUACAGUAGUUAUAACACCAAUAUAAAUAAAGAAUGAGUUCAUUACAGUACCUUGAAGUGUUCUUUUAUUUUCUUUCGCUAACGGAGCUCACGAGAUUUUCUACUUUAAGUUUUGUGUUGUGAAGUUUUCAAGUUUUGGGUAAAGAUUUGAUGGAUUAUGGGACAAGGAGUGGCAAGAGCCUAAGCUUGGGGAUGCCCAUGGCACCCCCAAGAUAAUCUGAGGACACCUAAAAGCCAAAGCUUGGGGAUGCCCCGGAAGGCAUCCCCUCUUUCGUCUACUUCUAUUAGUAACUUUACUUGGAUCUAUAUUUUUAUUCGCCACAUGAUAUGUGUUUUGCUUGGAGUGUCUUGUAUGAUUUGAGUCUUUGCUUGUUAGUUUACCACAAUCAUCCUUGCUGUACACACCUUUUGAGAGAGCCAUACAUGAUUUGCAAUUUGUUAGAAUACUCUAUGUGCUUUGCUUAUAUCUUUUGAGUUAUAUAAUUUUGCUCUAGUACUUCACUUAUAUCUUUUAGAGCAUGGUGGUGGAUUUGUUUUAUAGAAACUAUUGAUAUCUCAUGUUUCACUUAGAUUAUUUUGAGAGUCUUAAAUAGCAUGGUAAUUUUCUUAAAAUCCUAAUAUGCUUGGUAUACAAGAUUAAUAAUAAAACUUUCUUAUGAGUGUGUUGAAUACUAUGAUAAGUUUGAUACUUGAUAAUUGUUUUGAGAUAUGAAGAUGGUGAUAUUAAAGUCAUGCUAGUUGAGUAGUUGUGAAUUUGAGAAAUACUUGUGUUGAAGCUUGUGAUUCCCGUAGCAUGCACGUAUGGUGAACCGUUAUGUGAUGAAGUCGGAGCAUGAUUUAUUUAUUGAUUGUCUUCCUUAUGAGUGGCGGUCGGGGACGAGCGAUGGUCUUUUCCUACCAAUCUAUCCCCCUAGGAGCAUGCGCGUAAUACUUUGCGUUGAUAACUUGUAGAUAUUUGCAAUAAGUAUAUGAGUUCUUUAUGACUAAUGUUGAGUUCAUGGAUUAUACGCACUCUCACCCUUCCACCUUUGCUAGCCUCUCUAAUACCGCGCACCUUUCGCCGGUAUCAUACACCCACCAUAUACCUUCCUCAAAACAGCCACCAUACCUACCUAUUAUGGCAUUUCCAUAGCCAUUACGAGAUAUAUUGCCAUGCAACUUUCCACCUUUCCGUCUAUUAUGACACACUCCAUCAUUGUCAUAUUGCUUAGCAUGAUCAUGUAGUUGACAUCGUAUUUGUGGCAAAGCCACCAUUCAUAAUUCUUUCACACGUGUCACUCUUGAUUCAUUGCAUAUCCCGGUACACCGCCGGUGUCACACCCAUUCCGAGAACAUUUUCCCGGCCACUUAUAAAAUAAUAUUUCGGACGUGCCACGGGUGCGUGCAAGUGUGGUUGAGCUCAGAACGGACAAUGGAGAGAACGACGAGACCCGGACGGAUGCAAGUUUUGAAAACAUGAUGAUGCAAUGCACAUGAUGAGAUGACAAGAUGCAACAAGCAAGUGAAUGACAAGGCAACAACAAUGAAUAACUGGAAGACACCUGGCGCAUCGGUCUUGGGGCGUUACAACACUCCACCACUAUAAGAGGAUCUCGUCCCGAGAUUUAGGAUGGCACCGGAGAGAAAACGAAAGAGGAAGAGGAAGAGGUAAAAACUAAGUUGCUUCCUUGACAAAUGAGUGAAACCAAAGAACCUUGAGAUGUUGAAAAACUUGAAAGAAAGAAUACAACGGAGAUGAACAAAGUUGAAAACACUCCGUUAGAAAAGAGGAACAAGGUUCAUUACUAGAACCUUGUAGGUUGAAAAACAUAAGAAAAAGGUUGCAAUGGACAAGAAGUACAUGCAAGCACUCCGGUAGAAACGAGAUGUACAAGGAACGAUAAGGAUAAAUUACGACAACACUCCAGUUGGAAAAGGAAAGUAAAGAAUAUAAACUUGGCAAAACGAAAGCAGUUGGAUGAGACUCCGGUUAGAAAAGGAAUGAUAGCCACAACACUCCAGUUAAAACAAGAUAGAGAAGGAAUAAGAAUGACGUAAUUCGGACAGCACUCCGAAUGCAAAUGGAUGGAAUUAAACAAGAACUUGACAAGAUGAGAGGAUACUUGAUGAAAUCAACAACACACUACCUCCGGAACUAUUGAAAUAAUGGCACAAGGGGUAAGAAAGAUUUCAGACAGCACUCCGGUUGAGAAUGGAGGUAAAACUUCAUAAGAUCAGAGAACUUGAAUGAAGGACCUGGCACUCCGGUUGAAUGGAAAAGCAAAAGGAAAGAACAUGAUCUUUGACAACAAGGGAUGAAGGAUCGAAGUGUGCAACAUCAUAAUUCCUCCGGAACAAAAGAUAGAAUGGACUGAAAGUAACAAAGAAGAAAACAACGUCUUCUACAUCGAAUGAAUUUGAAAGCAUCCUUCCAAGAAGGUUAAAACGGAGUUGUUGGAAAGACCAACAACGAAAAGAGUAAGCUUGUUGUGGGCUUAUGGAGAACAUCUCAAAAUUAUGAGGUGAAAUUCCGCCACUAACGAAAAACAAUAGAUUCGAUUGAGAUGAAUAAGGAGACGAGAAACUUAUUUCACCCGAAGGAUAAAUGAAGAACUUGGGUCAUUUAUAAGCACCAUAAAUAGCAACAAUCCUUAGGGAAAGCUUUAGGUGAAAUAUAACCCAAGAUAACUCCAAUGAAGAGAUUGAUGGAUUGAAAAGAUGUCCUGAAUGAAUUGAAAAAUGAUGGAUUUAAGAUAUGUCACUCUUGAAAACUUGUGAAUCAUGAAACACGAAGGGAAAUUAUCAACAAUGACAUAACACCACCUCAAAAGAUAAGGGAGAAAGUAUUGAACUUUGAAAUGCAAGAUGAAGAAUGCUUGAACUCCUCAAAACAAGACAUGUGUUGAACAACAUGUUUAUUUCAGACUAUAGCUUGGCGGAACUUAACUUCGAGAGAAAUCUUGAGGGAAAUUGAAGAAUGAAAAGUAUCCUUGCAAACCAUCAUGUUGAGCCUUCGUGAAGAACUCCGGUAAUAAAAGAAUGUUCAAAAGGAAGUGAAGGAUGGAAAGAAUAAGAUUUGAAGCCUUGCAAUGAUUGGAUGGAGCUUUGCGAUGAGAUAAAGUGGAAACUUGGAACUCCGGAAGAAAAGAUAACGCAUCUCGAACCUAGAAUGAGAUAUGAUGAACCACUCCGAAAAGAAGAAAUUAGAAUGCUUGGAUGAAACAAGAAUAAGAAUUAUGUUAUGCGUAUCCCUCACCAAUUUAGGUUGAUGACAAGCAACGGAUUUUGCAUACUACUUAUUCUCGUAGAAAGGAUUAAGAGAGGUAUCGAAAACUUGAUAAGUUCUUCAAUGAAACACCGGUAGGGUUCAAAUAACGAAUGAAUUGAUAUGAUAAUCAUGGAAUAGAAUCUUGAGCAAACCAACAUAAGAAUUGAAAACAAGCGAAGUAAAGGGGUGAAUCAAGAUGCAACAAAACAAAGAGAUCGCAAAUUUAUUAGAGAAUACUUGAAUGAUGCACCGGUAAAAUUUAGAGAAAGAGAGCUGAAAACUCAGAAUGAAUAAUUUUUGAGACGAUGGACUUAGGCGAAUCAAACUGAAAAGACUCCUGAAAUACUCCGGAUGGGUGAAAAGAAUUCUCACAAUCGAAAACAAUUAUGAGAGGAUGGCAACAAUCUAGAAUCAUGAAUCUUGAAGAAAAUGGAGCAAGAUAUGGAGGAAAAACUCUUCUUCGGUCUUCAAAUGUUCAGAACAACGAUGAGAAGCACCACCAAGAAUUGUUGAGAUACUCCGGGAUGAUGAAUUUAAAGGUUGAACCAACGGUGACAAGAAUUUGACAGAUCUUGGAGAAGGCAUUUGACUGAUGAUAACUCAUUCUUACGUCAAACUAUGAAAGUUUUGAGAAUAACUCCGGAAAGAAUUUGAAGAGUCAGGUAAGAUCCUGGAAAAAGACCUAUGGGUUAGGGCCCACUCAAAGAAACACCGUUGAAUGAUUGCUUGAAAAGAGAGCUUGCACCGCUUGAAUUGAAUGGCUUGAAUGAGAUAACAACCUCGAAAUAGGUCGAGCGGAUCUUGAAUGAAAAGACGAGCCUUCUGAGAUAUCUUCAGUACUCCGGAACAAAUGAACAGUGAGAGAUGAAUGAUUAAAAGGUACACCGGUAUGAGAAAACAUUUAAAACGAGGAAAGGAUAUGAUCAACAAAAUUUGAAUUGAAUCCAGCGGAGAAAAAAAAAGAACGAAUAAUGAUGAACUUGUAGAACAUCUUCAUGAAAAUCACGGGAUAAGAAUAUUGACCGAAAAGAAUGGAGAGACUUCGCAUCAAUAAAAAGAUACUCGAUUAAGAGAUCUGAGUCCUUGAAGAAAAAAAGGGGUGGGUGGGCGGGAAAACAAAAGCAACUUUGCACGGAUAAAACAAACACCGUUGAGAAAAACUAUGAGUUGAUCUUGCGGAUGGGAAAAUGAUCGGAUCUACUUGAAGAGGAGCACGCCGGUUGAAAAGAAAUUGAAAUGACAAACUCGAUGAUCAAGAAGGAUUGGUAUUCACAUUGGAGUAUGAGAGCACCGCUUAGGAAAGGUAUGGAAACACAUUUGACAUUGAAGCAACUUGAAUACCACAACUCAAAACAAAACAAAGGAUUGGCUUGCAAAAUUAGCCGGAACAAAUAUAUGAUAGAGAUUUGGUCUGAAGUUUUCGUGGUGGGGCCCACAUGGGCUCGAUUGUACAGCACCAUCAUGUACAAGGCAGUGCACAUGACAUACGAAGCAUCCCCGAGUCAGCAUAGCCAAGGACUCUUUAAGACAUAACGAGACCACUGUAAAACCAACCGUGGAUAGGCGGACCACUAGACGUCGAACCCCGGUCUCAUAUCAUGCAUCUGCCGGAAAGAUAUCCUAAGAGCUACUUUAAUUCCCACUUAUAAACUCCUGAAACUUUCUGAUUAUGCAAUCAGGUGUUGGGGAUACAGGAGAAGCAUAAUAUCUCACCCAAAACUAGCAAAUCCUACAUCCAGUUGUAUCCAUCCUUCAACACAUAACCAAGAAACCUUCGGAAAUCAUUUACCUCAACCUUCGAAAAGCAUCCGUUAUACGAGUUAUGGCAAUACUCCCGAACUCCCGCCCCUGUACUGGGUGGCGUCGAGGUUAUCUUACCACCAACUGCAUAAAAGAGAUUUUCGAUGUCGGCGAAACUCAGGUAUUCCAGAACUGCAACGAUAGAAUUGUGACGACAACACCUCGGAGCUCAACUCCCCGGGACACUGCCACAACCCCUAAUGUCAGGAGGCACCAAGAACAAUGUUAUCAUCACAAAACCAUCGAAACGAUUCCAAUAUACCUGCGUGAUCCUAAAAAAAAUUCAUGAAAUUUGAGGAGAGAAGAGUCAAAACUCUAUGUCAGGAGGCCUCGCCAGAGCGACGAAGGGACUGAGGAGUAAAAAGAGUCCUACUCUCCGAUAUAUAUAAUCCUAAGACUCAAAACAUUUUGUUCUAGACUCAACAACUCCAACAAUUCGAUCAAGCAGGGGGGCUCCUAAGUCGGGGAAGGCUCUGAUUACCAACUUGUCACACCCAUUCCGAGAACAUUUUCUCGGCCACUUAUAAAAUAAUAUUUCGGACGUGCCGCGGGCGCGUGCAAGUGUGGUUGAGCUCAGAACGGACAACGGAGAGAACGAGGAGACCCGGACGAGUGCAAGUAUUGAAAACAUGAUGAUGCAAUGCACAUGAUGACACGACAAGAUGCAACAAGAAAGCGAAUGACAAGGCAACAACAAUGAAUAACUGGAAGACACCUGGCGCAUCGGUCUUGGGGCAUUACAGCCGGAGGCAUUCAUAUAGUCAUAUUUUGUUCUAAGUAUCGAGUUGUAAUUGUUGAGUUGUAAGAAAAAUAAAAGUGUGAUGAUCAUCAUUAUUAGAGCAUUGUUGUAACACCCCGGAUGUAAUUUACCUCAUCUGUAUCCCAACUCUUGCCGUUUCCGGUGCUAAGUUAUUUUAUUUCAUCGGUGCUGGGUUUUUGUCUCCGUGUGUUUGUGCCUUUGUCAUGCAUCUCAUAUCAUGUCAUCAUGUGCAUUGCAUUUGCAUACGUGUUCGUCUCAUGCAUCCGAGCAUUUUCCCCGUUGUCCGUUUUGCAUUCCGGCGCUCCUAUCUCCUCCGGUGCCCCUUUCUACCUCUUUUCGUGUGCGGGUGUUAAACGUUUUCAGUUUGGACCGAGACUUGUCAUGCGACUUUGUUUUACUACCGGUAGACCGCCUGUCAAUUUUCGUGUCAUUUGGACUUCGUUUGAUACUCCAACGGUUAACCGAGGGACCGAAAAGGCCUCGUGUGUGUUGCAGCCCAACACCCUUCCAAAGUGGCCCAAAACCCACCUAAACCUUCUCCAUCAUCUCGGUCGUUCGAUCACGAUCACGUGGCCGAAAACCGCACCUCAUUUGGACUCUCCUAGCUCCCUCUACCUAUAUAUAUAUGUGGCCUCCCCCAAAAUUUUCUUGGAUAAACCCUAGCCUUCCUCUACCUCGCGCCCGGACGAAAUAGCCACCGCGCCCGGACAUGUCCUGAUAGAGGCGAGGGUCCCGAUCUUUCGAUGAGAUGAUAACUAUCGAUUUGGUGGAGACGACUUUGACGAUCCGACUACAAACGUGCACGACAUUGCGCCUUAGCAAUCGCUAAACCAAUCUCCUGAGGUUAUUGACGAUGCUGGAAGCACGGUCAGCCUGACCACGAAGGUCUAUUCCUGCAAGCAAUCGAAGAAUGAGCAAGAAUAUGAUAAAGCAAUCUGAAUAUUGCAAAUAAAUAUGAAGUAUUGAUAAUGGUGGGGAUUCGGAAGCGGUCUUGGUCUGGUCGUUGGACACAAACGAAGUACACGAAGUUGCAAUGGCUAUAUAUGGUAGCAAAAGAUUAGCAAUAAUCAAUUCAAAGAUGCAAUGUUGAAUAAACGCUCAACGACGGUACUGUGCUGGUCCUAGGCUAGACCGAACUAGAGACGCGAGCCUAGAACACUAAUGAGGUCACGUCGUAGCACAACCAGCAUCGUCAAUAACCUCAGGAGAUUGGUUUAGCGAUUGCUAAGGCGCAAUGUCGUGCACGUUUGUAGUCGGAUCGUCAAAGUCGUCUCCACCAAAUCGAUAGUUAUCAUCUCAUCGAAAGAUCGGGACCCUCGCCUCUAUCAAGUGGUAUCAGUUUUCAGGUUGCUCGGUGAGAAUUUCCAGUUUUCCUAGAUUAGAUUUAUUUUCUUACCUAUUGUCCAAGAAAAAGCCACACAAAAAAAGUUAGAUCUGUUCAUCCUUUAUCCAAGCCAGUCUGAGCCUUUGUAAUUUUCUAUUCAUUGCUUGCAUAGUUGAAUUAUCGGUUGCAUCGUCGUGUAAGUUGCUGGUCUUAGCGUCUGGUUCCUUUAGAGUUUCGAGUUCUGUUCACAUUAGUCACGCCGCCGCUGCAUCAUUAUCCCUUCCGCUGUCCACCAUCCCAUCUAUUAAUUUCCACCACGUGCUACGCACUGUUCAUUGUCAUAAUCAUAGUUGAGGUCAUUCACAUCUUCGCCUGAUCCAAUCUGCAUCUUAUCUAGUUUGUCUUGAAAAAAAAAAGAUAGAGAAAAAAAAGAGAAAAAAGGAAAAAAAAGAAAAAGAGAGAGAAGAAAAAGAAAAAAAAGCGUGAGAAAAAAAAGAGAGAAGAAAAAAAAUUGGAUCUAUCUAGAAUCAAUCUCGUACCUGAAUUCGGAUUGGAAUCUGUUUUGCGCACUGUUCAGUAAAACAGGUGUAUCUUCCUCAUACGAAGUCCGUUUUGGCUCCGUGAGUACUCAAAUUGAACCUAUCGACGAGCCGCAUCUAAAUAGUUACAGAAGCUAGUUCAAUAUUUGACACCUCAAAAUCGGCUUCUAAAUAGGUCUUUUUGCCCUCCGAA
rnacentral:lncRNA from 1 species